GGGUGAGUCAGGCAACCUGCCUGUAAGAUGGAUCGGGACCGGAGUAAACCGGAUAGUUUUUCUGCAUGAGGAAAGAUGGAAAGACGGUUUCGGUGUCAACAGAUGGGCCCGCGGGCUUAGUAGUUGGUGAGGUAAUGGCUCCAAGGCCACGAUGGUAGCCGACCUGAGAGGGUGAUCGGCCACACUGGGUGAGACCGGCCCGAUCUACGGGAGGCAGCGUAGGGAAUUUCCAAUGGACGAAAGUCUGACGGAGCAACGCCGGUGAGCGAAGAAGGCUUCGGGUGUAAAGUUGUUGUUGGGAAGAACAGUGCCAGAGUAACUGUGGCACCUUGACGGUACCUAACCAGAAAGCCACGGCUAAUACGUGCCAGCAGCCGCGGUAAUAGUAGGUGGCAAGCGUUGUCCGGAAUUAUUGGGGUAAAGCGGGCAGGUGGUUCUUAAGUUGAUGUGAAAGCCCACGGUCACCGUGGAGGGUCUAAUGACUUGAGUGCAGAAGAGGAAAGUGGAA
rnacentral:rRNA from 2 species